AACGGAGGCGAACGGAGGCGACCGUCGCGGCCAUCGAACGUUCAACGGUCCACCAGCCGAGCGGCGCCACCGACUAACGUUGAAGUUGAAAAUCACGCAAAGACGUCGUCAGUAGUUCUAGAAGACCAAACAGCAGAGCUGUACGUGACGGCGUUUUCGUCACCGCCAGCGAAUGCCACAAUCUCAGACGUUUCAUACGACGCGGGUGUGCAACAAUG